rnacentral:rRNA from 1 species
UACGUAGGGUGCGAGCGUUGUCCGGAAUUAUUGGGCGUAAAGGGCUCGUAGGCGGUUUGUCACGUCGGGAGUGAAAACUCGAGGCUCAACCUCGAGCUGUCGGUGGAAACCGUAAGGCUAGAGUCCGGAAGAGGAGAGUGGAAUUCCUGGUGUAGCGGUGAAAUGCGCAGAUAUCAGGAAGAACACCCGUGGCGAAGGCGGCUCUCUGGGACGGUACUGACGCUGAGACGCGAAAGCGUGGGGAGCGAACAGG